GUGGGUGUAGCUCAGUGUUAGAGUGCAUGCUUUGUGUGUAUGAUGUCCUGGGUUCAAUACCUAGCUUCUCCC